rnacentral:rRNA from 1 species
UACAGAGGUCCCAAGCGUUGUUCGGAUUUACUGGGCGUACAGGGAGCGUAGGCGGUUGGAUAAGCCCUCCGUGAAAUCUCCAGGCUUAACCUGGAAAGUGCAGAGGGGACUGUUCAGCUAGAGGAUGGGAGAGGAGCGCGGAAUUCCCGGUGUAGCGGUGAAAUGCGCAGAUAUCGGGAAGAACACCCGUGGCGAAGGCGGCUCUCUGGGACGGUACUGACGCUGAGACGCGAAAGCGUGGGGAGCGAACAGG